AUUGAACGCUGGCGGCAGGCCUAACACAUGCAAGUCGAACGAGUGGCGGACGGGUGAGUAAUGUCUGGGAAACUGCCUGCUGGAGGGGGAUAAGUACUGGGAACGGUAGCUACUACCGCCUACCAUCAGCUGUGCCCAGAUGGGAUUAGCUUGUUGGGGGGGUACCGGAUCACCAGGGCGACGAUCCCUAUCUGGUCUGAGAGGAUGACCAGCCACACUGGAACUGAGACACGGUCCAGACUCCUACGGGAGGCAGCAGUGGGGAAUAUUGCACAAGGGUCGCAAGCCUGAGGCAGCCAUGCCGCGUGUAUGAAGAAGGCCUUCGGGUUGUAAAGUACUUUCAGCGGGGAGGCGUUACCCGCAGAAGAAGCACCGGCUAACUCCGUGCCAGCAGCCGCGGUAAUAC
rnacentral:rRNA from 1 species